AAACAUUCUUACCUUGGCCGAAUGUUAAGCUUGGGAGAAUUCAUCAAUGGCUUUUAGGGUUUCGGUAAUUCCCAUUGAAAAUUAAGAUCGAGAACCAAAGAAAUCGGAGUUAGAUCGAGGAAAAGCCAAAAUAGUCGAAUAAACGUCCGACUUCGAUUUUCCAUCGUCUGAGAUAAAAACCAAGCUGCAGACUCGGGGAUCGUUAGCGAAGAUCAUCACUUUAUCUACUAUCUCGGGGUGUUACAUCCAUGGUGAUACCAGAGGGAAUUAAAACAAAGAUUUGGAGAUGUGAAUCCAAGAACUGUGCAUAUGCAAGUGGAGAGUAGUCAUGGAGAAAAUGCCAAAGGAGGUGAAUUGUGUCUCUAAUAUUUUGGCUGACCUGAUGAAAGAUUUUUCUAUUGGUGCUCGAAUUUUUCAUGUUGCUCUUUCAUUAGUUGAUGAUUAGAUACGUUUAGACAAACAUUUUCUGUUAUCCAACCCUGCUUCUACUGUUAGUUUGUAAUUGAUUUUCUUUUUAUUUUGUUACACUAAAA